rnacentral:rRNA from 1 species
AUGAAGAAACAAUUUUCACUGAACAGGCAUGUCCUUAAUUACGUUAUGUUCAAUCACACAAACAAAGGAAACGGUUCUGAAAAAAAAAUGAUAGUCAAGGAAAAGGGAAAGAGGGACCUUCGAACUUCAAAUAAUGUCGCCCAUGUGGAGGAUGCGUUUGGCUGGCGCUCUAGGGGUGGAAAACGUUUCCACCAUCCUCAUAAUGUACUAAAGAUGGAUCAAAGAUGGCUGCGAGAGACGAAAUCCAUGCCCACAUCACCUGCACGGACGCCGACAGCAACAACACCGCGCAGAUGGAUGAUCUCGCCUACUCCCUUCGCAGCUUGA